AGAGUUUGAUCAUGGCUCAGGACGAACGCUGGCGGCGUGCCUAAAACAUGCAAGUCGAACGGGGGAGCAAUCCCCAGUGGCGAACGGCGGAGUAAUACAUGAACAACGUGCCCUGAAGACCGGGAUAGUCAGUGGAAACGCUGGGUAAUACCGGAUGUGACCGAACUAAGGCAUCUUAGAUCGAUUAAAUGGUUUUUCGCUUCAGGAGCGGUUCAUGGCCUAUCAGGUAGUUGGUGAGGUAAUGGCUCACCAAGCCGACGACGGGUAGCGGGUCUGAGAGGACGAUCCGCCCGAGUGGGACUGAGACACGGCCCACACACCUACGGGUGGCAGCAGUUGGGAAUCUUGCACAAUGGGGGAAACCCUGAUGCAGCGACGCCGCGUGGAGGACGAAGGAUCUAGGUCUGUAAACUCCUUUUUCACGGAAAGACUUAGGACGGUACCGUGAGAAUAAGCCCCGGCUAACUACGUGCCAGCAGCCGCGGUAAGACGUAGGGGGCGAGCGUUGUCCGGAUUUACUGGGCGUAAAGAGCGCGUAGGCGGCUCGUUAAGUAUGAAGUGAAAUCUCCAGGGCUCAACCCGGAAACUGCUUCGUAGACUGGCGAGCUUGAGGAAUGCAGAGGUAAGUAGAAUUCCUGGUGUAGCGGUGAAAUGCGUAGAUAUCAGGAGGAAUACCGACGGCGAAGGCAGCCUACUGGGCAUUAUCUGACGCUGAGGCGCGAAAGCGUGGGUAGCAAACAGGAUUAGAUACCCUAGUAGUCC
rnacentral:rRNA from 1 species